UAUUAUUAAAUGUCAAAAUGUUGGGUUAAAAAAACAUAUUUUUGGAAAAGUUUAUAAUGAAAUGUUUAUCUAACAGCGAUAAAGGAUUAUUUUGGCUAAAUAGUGAAAGUGUGUUUGUUAUGACAUCAAGGGGAAAUACACGCAGGCCCAAACAACGAAACAGAGUGAAAGUCCAAGAAAUGUGAACGACUUCUGUCUGUCCCACCCAACUAUAACUUGCUGGACUUGUGGUUUCCUCACGGAAGCCCCCGGCGAAGGCUCCGCCAUCACCUGUCGACAACACAAAUUGAUAUAUAUUAAAACAAAUUAAAAUUCUUACCUCGGUAUGGCGUUUUGUUAAAAUUUCCGUACUGGUGUUCAUUGUUUAAACGUUGGAAACAUAUAGAUAAAAGUUUGAUAACAAUCUGAUUGGAGAGUGAUUUCGUUGUUGUUUUGUUUUACCCACUUGUGGUGGGUUACCUUGAGAGUUAUUUAAUUCCGGUUAUAAAUAAUUCAACAACACAACAACUAAUAAGAAUAUAUUCAUUAUUGCACCUAAAUUAGCACAAAAAAAAUAUGGAUUUUUUGUUGUUUCUUCACUUAUCAAACUACAUACGAUCACAACAGUUUAAAUUGAUUUAAAGUGGUAAAAACGAUUAUCCAGAUAAUCAAAAGCACUAUUAUUCCGACGAGAAAUAUAGUCUUUUUGAUGUGCCAAGGACUACCGGCAAGAUCCGGGGCUUGAUAUCGUUGUCUAGCCGUUCUGCAUACUUCCGGUGUACAAGUGACUAAAUUUUGGCUCGCUGAAGCACCACCCCCAUUUGCUCUUGAAACCGAUAAUUCUAUACCUUUAUCCUUUCUGUCACCAUCUUUACGAAAACUGGGAUUGUCCAUCUGAAAUUUAAACACACUAAAUGCUCAGUUUUAUUCAAUUUGCUAAACUUUUACACAACACAACAUUUUGAUGAUUGUUUAAUUAUUGGAUUUUUUCAUGGUAGUGGUGUGUGAAAACAUUGCUAGACUAUCGCUUGUAAUUUUUUCAAUGGAAGUUAAACCUCAGAUAAGCGGUAUCUUAUUUCUGGCGGUUCAACCUUUUACAUAUAAAUAGAUACCAGGGAUGGGUGGUAUUGGUGGUUGAACGAAAAGAUAAAUACUCAAAAAUGGGAACUACUCGUAAAUUUAUCUUAUCAAUUGAGAUAAGUGGGAAAAACAACGAAAUAAGACAUAGUUAGAUACUCCAAAAUGGGUGAUUAAAAAAACAAUUCAAACCUUUGAUUAUUUUUCAAUUUGAAACCACGGCACUCGCAAAUUACAUCAUCAUCGCUUGCACAUUGUAGAUUGACUCAAGGAAACAUUUUCUCCCAUUUCUGCAUUACUUUCACAAUUUUUUCAAUACUCGAUAUAUUAUGCGAUUAGCUUUUCUCAAUUUAAAUUACAACCAAGCAUAAAUUACGCUGUUUUUUAUGACAAAUUGUUUAUCUGCAUUUUACCUGAAGGCCACCGCAAUAAUUUUACACAAACUAAAUCGCACAAAUACCAUUUUGUUAUAUCACCAUUAAAAACUCAUUGAUUUCAAGACGUGGCAAUUGAAAGUUACCACACAAAUCUUUAAUACUUACAUUAAUCGGGUUUAAUCACUAUAAUUCAUGUAAUUCCCAUUUUUUUACGUUUGAAUGACACUGAAAAAUGUCAAAACGACUUGAAACUUGGUUAUUCAUUGUUGUGGCAUUGUUUUAACUCGUCGAGAAUUGCUUUAAUGGAAUAAAUGUUUAUGUGAUAGUCAUGUUUAACACGUUCAAAAUUGUUGUUGUUUGAAAGUUAAUUAAAAAUAGCUAGCAGUUUUUUAAUAAUAAUAAUAAAUUUUUAACGGUUUGCAUAUACUUACCGUUAAAAUGUAGGUACCUAUUUAUUCAUCGUUUUAAAAGCGACAAAUGUAGUAAAGAUACCCAAUAAAUAUUAAUCUUUAUUCUUACAAAAUGUAAAUUCCGUUACUUUGUUUUUCGUAAAUACGUCCACACACAUUUACCUGUUAUUUUCUAUGAAUUAAUCAUGAUGAACUGGAUUAAAAAUUCUUUCGUUUUUUGAAAAGCUAUUAUUUUUAAUAUUUGCAACCAACAAUACACGUACACAUCUUUGGGAAAUAAAUAUUAUUACAUAAACGCUUGUAAAAUAAAUACAUUCACUUCACAAAUUAUCGCUUGAUUUUGAAAUCAUCAAAAGUAAAGUUUUGAAUCUCUUUUUCAUUCUUGAAUUCGGCUUUGUCAAUCCUACACUGUGGACUUCCCUUUGUUUUGAGCCACAUUUUCCUACAAUUUCCAUAAAAAAUACAAGGUGAAAAAGGCAUUCACUUACAUAUCAGCAACUUUAUUUGCAUCACCUUCUAGGACACCUUUCACAGUACCUUCAUUGGUGUUCAUGCACCAUCCUUUGAGCCCCAAUCGGGUGGCCUCUUGUUGUGUAUACUAAUUGUUCUAUGAUUAAUUAAAACAUUUAAUUUGGUUAGUUGAACGUACCUUUCGGAAAAAUACACCUUGAAAAUUACAUAACACGUUCUUAUAAUUUUUACAGUUAAAGUGAUAAGGAAUUACCUUGAACUCUGCCAUAGACUUCGAAUUCGGUGGAAAGCAGUUUCAAUGACGCCAUCGAAAGCGGGAAAAGCACAAGGAAAAGCGAGGAAAAUCGUAAAGGAAAAUAAACAAACAUCUGUCAAUUUGGUUGCAUGGCAGCGCUAAUAGCGCGCGAAAUUUAAAUUUAUUUCAAAUAAAAGUGUUACUACAAUA